rnacentral:rRNA from 1 species
ACAGUAACUGACAUUGAGGCACGAAAGUGUGGGGAGCAAACAGGAUUAGAUACCCUGGUAGUCCACACUGUAAACGAUGGAUACUAGGUGUAGGAUGUGAUAAACGUUCUGUGCCGUCGCAAACGCAAUAAGUAUCCCACCUGGGGAGUACGGCCGCAAGGUUGAAACUCAAAGGAAUUGACGGGGGCCCGCACAAGCAGUGGAGUAUGUGGUUUAAUUCGAAGCAACGCGAAGAACCUUACCAGGGCUUGACAUAUAUAGGAAUAUACUAGAGAUAGUAUAGCUCUUCGGAGUCUGUAUACAGGUGGUGCAUGGUUGUCGUCAGCUCGUGUCGUGAGAUGUUAGGUUAAGUCCUGCAACGAGCGCAACCCUUAUACUUAGUUACCAGCAAGUAAAGUUGGGGACUCUAGGUAGACUGCCGGUGAUAAAUCGGAGGAAGGUGGGGACGACGUCAAAUCAUCAUGCCCUUUAUGUCCUGGGCUACACACGUACUACAAUGGCUAUAACAGAGGGAAGCGAAAUAGUGAUAUAGAGCAAAACCCAAAAAAGUAGUCUCAGUUCGGAUUGAAGGCUGAAAUUCGCCUUCAUGAAGCCGGAAUG